UGACAUAAACUGUACACGUCUUCCUCAGAUCUGAUUGGUUUAUUGUAAAGUUGCUCCAGGAUCAACAAAGAUGUUUAUCCAGGAACAUGUUGCACUUAGUGAAAUCAGGUUCUGCAAUAUAUUCAGCUAAUUGGUAAGCAAGAGUCUUCUUUCAAAAGCAUAAACAUAAAACAUUAGAACAUCAUUAUAAACGUUCAAAUAAAAUACUCUUUUCUGCAACUCAGUUCUGAUGUGAUAAAUCAACUCUCAUUUUGUGACCACAACUAAUUGCUGCUUUGUCUUGGUUUGUUAUUGCGUGUUAAGGAGUGCCGGCGCUGUUGUUCUGACCUGUGGUGAACUCUGGCUCACUCUGCUUGUUCCCAGGCAGUAGCAGCUGAAGUUUGGGGUCAGACUGACAUCACAAAUAUCAUAAAACUGUGUAUGCCUUUCCUGUCUGAGGAAUAGAACAGUCUGUUUGUCUGCCUAUAAGUGUGUGUGUGGUCUCUGGAGCUUUGCUUAAUGGAGCACAGUCUAAAGGGAGAUUCAGAGCACUCAUAUUGUGUAUUGAGAACUCAGCAGGCAGAGAUGACCAGUGCAGGUGUUACUAAACACAGUGACACACUUUGAAUACACGCUGUGGUGGAGAGUGAAUGAAUCUCAGAAAGUAAAGUAAUAUAUCAAAUUUGCGUAAUUGCAUAGGCGUAUUUUAUCCACGAUUAAUAGUAAGAACAUCUGGGAUAAAAUGUGUGAGAAAUUCAUGUCAGAUCAAAAACCCUCAUUCCAUUCCAAACUUGUAUUAAUUUCUUUCUUCUGCGGAACACCAAAGAUGACAUUUUGAAGAAUGUUUUUGUUCAUACAAUGAAAGUCAACACUGAAAACAACAUUGGACUUUGCAGAUUUGUGCUCAACCAAAGAUGAUUAAUUGAAUCAGUGUCUCAUAAAACACAAAUUAAAUUCUGUUAUAUAAGAGUGCAUUGAUGCAGUUCAAUUCUAUUUAAAGACAUUUAAAUAUUUACACUGUCUUUUCGUCUCUUGCUGUGCGAAUGGAAAGACCAACUGGUUCAAACAUCACUUAAACCACUUCACAUAACAAAUGAUCAGAUGAAUGACCUACAAAAACAUGACAUGUGCCAGAGUCUUUAAAAUCUUUACCAGAAACAAAGAUGCAAGGUAAUGUACACACUAAAGCAACACACAACACAUGACAUGCCUGUGUGCUCAUGAGCCCUCUCAGAGUAAAAAGUGCUGACACAGAUAAAUGGAGGACAUUCAAAUCAAACUACUGUGUAUAUGACUAAUGAUCCAUUAAUGAGGACCUACUCUUUUGUAAACAUACACAGAGCCAGCGUCUUUAAAAUCUUUAACACAUGUGAAUGCUCUGGCUGUUGCCGGGCCAAUAACAUGCUCUCUGAUUGGUGUGUAACACAUUCUUCAGCCAAUCGCAUUUUACGGUAUUGCAUCUGUGGUUGCUAAACUAAAAUCAUUUGUAAAAUGAGCAUUGAGGAAAAUUUUAUUGCUUAGAUGUUUCCUCCUUUCAUAUUUCAGGAGACUUAAUGGACUCUCAGUUAUAUUUCAUUUAAGGAUAGACUUUGUCUUAGGUGUUUCACCUAUAAGGAGAAAUAAUCACUCAUAUGAGGCAACUAGUACAGAGAUUUGUGCAGAUUACAUUGGCCUUGGAAAAAUGUUGGGAAAUGUUCAAGUUUGGCAUUGUUAAGGUCUGAAACUCUAGAGGAGACGCAAGCAUCCAUUUUCUCCCCAUUUAAUCUCAUUGGUCUAGGACAAAGGUGUCAAAUUCAGUUCCAGGACGGCCACUGUCCUGCAGAGUUUAGCUCCAACCCUAAUUAAACACACCUGAACCAGCUAAUAAUAGUCGUCAGGAUUACUAGAAACUUCCAAGCAGGUGUUUUGGAGCUGGUUGUGGCUACAAUCUGCAGGACAGCGGCCCUUCAGGAGCAGAGUUUGACACAUGUGGUCUAGGAGAUACAACUGAUAUGAUUUUUCAGAAAACAAGAUUUAUUAUCUCUAGUCAUUUACUUUUGUAUCUUGAUUUAAGAAUGUUUAGAUAUUUGUACUGGAAAAACGACAAAAAAUACUAAGUACAAAAUAGCAUUUUUUGAAGUAUAUUAAAGAGAUCUUAUCUGUGAUUUUUCGUUCCUUUAAGUUGAGCCAAUGUUGUUCUGUUGUGGAUUGAUAAACAUCUUGAAGACAUUUUAUGACUGUCUCUGUAGCCUAGGAGAUACUUUAAGCUUCUUCUGGAAAUCUUGACAAAAUACAAUGGUUUUGUUAAAGCGAUCCUUUAGACCAGAUUUCAUAUGCUGAUGAAGGGUCGCAUUCUUCCGUUCUCUUUCAUUUUGAACAAGACCAGACAACAAUGCAUCCCUCAUGUCUCGUUUUGAAUAAAACAUAUUGAAAUGACAGUGUCCGUGCCCACAGUCCCGCCUCUUUUCUAAGUUUAGCAGCUCUGAGAAGACUUAAGCGCACAAAAUGAAGUCAUUUCUUAAUUUAUGAGCUCCUCCUGUCAGAUCCAUGUGUUUUGAGUUGUGCUUGGAAGCCAUCUUGUGAAUUCCUCUCUGGUAAUGGGGAUUAGGAGGGCACAGCUAAUGUAAACAAUGCCUAAAUUCUUCCAUCUGAUGUUGCAGUUUAUCUCCGAUAGAAUGAAACACUGACCCUCUGCGAGCUUAGCAACCGAUGAAUACAGCGAUCACCACAUGGUCGUUUUGCUGUCACCCUUUUUCUACUAAACUAUCUGUUGUAAUUGAACAAAAAUGUCAAUCUGGUAAUGGUUCAAAACAGAGCUGUUUGUAAUGGAAACGAAGCAGCAUUCUUCCAUUAAAUAUUUGAAUACACAAGCAAUGAGCACUUUGGAAACUCAACAAAAUGCCACAGUGAGAUAAACAGAUGAUGUUUCCUGCGAGAUCGAGAAUGAGCUCUUCCAAUCGCUGAGAAGAAGUGAUGAAUUGUUCGGCUUUCAUUUCUUCAACAUGGUUUGACAGCUGCGCUCUUUUCAUCUCCACACUUCUGCAUCUAAAUGGUGGAGUUUGAUGCUCUCGCCAGGUGUUUGACUUACUGUCCAGCUCUCCAUGGGCAAUUUUCCGCAUUAUUGUAAUCAAUGAGAUAAUUGAGGAGGCUGAGAUGUUUGCCCUGUCUGCAAAUAGCCCCAAUCAAUGGCUGCGCUUCAAUUGGGCCAAUUAAAGAAAUUGUGGUAACAUGAGACAGAUGGAGUGGGUGCUUAGAGACUGGGCUCCUCAGCAUCCCCACAGUUGUUUUUGUCCGUUUCGAGGUAAAGAAUCAAGUUUAACUUCUGACUACUUGGAGUUCUUGAACCAAUCUCCCCAACGGAUGUCUUUGACUACACAUCUUUCUGUAUACCUGUUAUGUUUGUUUUUAUAACAUUUUGUCUGUCUUUACUAUUCAUUUGUUCUCAAAAGCUCAGAUGACUGAUUGGAUCUUUCAGUGGCGUUGGCUGAAGGUGAAGCCGUUCUCUUGUACACCCUCAGAGGGAUGUAGCUCCCAAAAAAAACAAAAUUCAUAUCACCUGUCGAAAUGUGCAUGUGUCCUUGAUGUUCAGGGUUUCAACAGCGGUCUGCUCCUGUGAUCCUCUGAUCGGGGAAUUCUGUUUGAACUCAUUUUACCACAGGAAUUGCCAGGGAUCUGUGGUUGGACUGGACUCAUCCGCAGUGUGUAAAAUAAUCUGACACUCCAGGAUUCCAGAGCUGGUAGCGGUUUGGUGGGGAACGCUUAAUGUUAAACACUAUCAUUUGAAAGAAUGUUGAGGAGCACAUGCUACUAGGUUAUAUUAGAAAUUGGACUGGCAAUUAAUUAUUAUUAUUUUUAUUUAUUUAAUUACAUGAUGUGCUGAUUGAUAAAUGCAAAUUAUUAUUUUUUUUAUCUUUGGCCGAUACUUUGUAUUCACUUAUUUUUUUACUUUGAGUUACUUAUAAGACUUAUGUUUAGGAAGAAAACCUCCUUCCAUCCAUUCUCCAAACCACUUAUCCUCUGUAGGGUCGCAGGGAAGAGGAAAACAGUUCUUUUAAAAACAGACUCUUAGUGAGUGUGGUUUGGCGAGGCAGUAUCGUUCAUGAUUUUUAUUUUAAAUGUUAUGUUAAUUAGUUAUUCAUUUAUUCAUUCACUGGUAAUUGACAUCUUGCAUUGAUAGCUAGUCGGUAAAGAAGUCCUGGCAGAAAAAAAAAAAAUGCAUGAAAUGGUUGAAACCAAAACAAAGGGGGAGAUAUUUUUGAUGACAGUUCUAGUAAUAAUUAAUGCCAUCUGUCAAACUCGGCUCAUGGGCUUUUGAUGAACACUUGUUAGCGCUCACUAGAGCUGUUCAUAGAGGUCCUCAGGUGGUCAUGUUACCUGAUAUCAGUCUUUAAAUUUUCGCGGAUAUACAAUUUCAUUGUGUAUUAAGGUGGUAUCCUUUCUUCCCCAUGCUUCCUUAAUUUGACUGCUGAUCCCACUGAAGAUUCACUGGUUAAAUUCAAGGCGUUCCUACAGUUUUCAUUAUAACUGUUUCAUAACGAAGUGCUUGCUGAUUUAUGUCAUUCUGGGGAAACAUGUGAAACGCCGCUUUGCUUCUAUUCUCCUUUGAGUGAAGAUCCGUUCCAUAAUUUCAAACAGAGCUGAAUUUAUACUCUAGAAGAACACCAUAAGUAUAUUUACAGCCUAAAAUGUCUAUGAAAAGCUUAUUUAGAACAUACAGUGGCCCCAAAAUACAUUUUUGGACACUUAUGUCAUGCUUUAAAAAAUGUAUGAACUUUGUUGCAUUAAAUUAAUAAAAUAUAAAACCAUACGGAAUUUGCAAAAAAGAAAAAGAAAAAAAAAGUUUUCUCAGAACUAGCUUCACUUUUCUGAGCCAUUUUUGCAAUUACUUUUAAUCAGCAGGUCCCAAGGUCCCAUUUUAGUGGAUGUAUGAAGUCAGUUCCUCUCGAGUUCACACAGGUGUCCUAGCAGAAUAACCACCGGAGUAGUUCAUCACAUUAACUUUGAACAUGUUCCACUAACAUCUGACGAUCAGAAAGUGUCUUCAUUUGGAAUGAUCUAUUGAAGGCUAACAAACUUCUUUUUGCGAAAUGUUUUUCUUGUAUUCUUUUAUUACAUACUUAUGAUAUAUUGCUUUUUAACGAAUGCCACUUGGUUAAAGAGUUUCAUACAAUUAUAAAUGUGGCAAAAGUGUCCAAAUAAUUUGUAUUUAUAUAAAUAAGACCGUGAGAACAUGGACUCAGAAGUGCCCUCAGCAACAUGCUGGCUUUCCUCUACUGUGCUGUUUUUCAUGAGGUAUGCAGUCCUCCUCUUUUGAACUCUAAAGAGUUCUAAUAGCCGUCUUGAUCUUCCCUUUUUCUAAGAAAGAAAUGUUUGAAAACUUUUCCAGCCUGAAAAUACUGCUCUGUGACCCUUAAAGUAGGUCUAGUCUCAAAACUAGAAGCAGCUUAACUGCUACUUGACACCCUGAGUAAUAAUAUGAGAAUAUGGAUGAGUGAAUAAAACCGUUGGGGGGUUUGCUCUAAGACUCAGGCCCAGCUGUGGUUAGAGGAAUCUGCUAGUGUAAAUGAUUUGCUGUCCUAUCCCACACAUGAGAUAAAUGCAUUCAUUAGACAUAGCAAACUGUGCAAUGUAGGGUGCCUUGGUCUGGCUUUGGGCCAUAGGCUUUAGGGAGAGACAAACAGAAGUUGUCCGGCCAAAACAGAAGCUUCAUCACCCAAAGGCAUGCUCAGUGCUCUCACAGACAGCGUGCUCCAUUCACCGGACAUUCUUCUGUUCACAAUCAAUCUCACACCCUGUAGGAAAAUUAGCAAGGCUGCACGUCGUGAGAAUGGACAGCUGCAGGCAGCCGCAUGGAAAUGAAUAAGAAGGAAGAUCCCAGGAAGCACGAGAGAGCUCCGAUGGAAAGAGAGAGCAAUCGAUUAUAUCAUUACACCAAUAAGUGGCAACAAGUGACUGUCUUUAUGAGGUGUGACUCUCCCCCGUAAAACGCACACCGUGUGAUGCACAACUUCCCUUUCCUGCCGACACACAGCUGCGUGUCUGAGGCUUGGCGCUCUGCUCUCGUAAAUCAAGGCUUUCUGCAGCAGCAGGAUCCAAUCAGGCCCAGGUGGAGGCCCAGGGGGCAGCUCGGGGGCCAGGCCUGGGGAAUACAAGCUCUGUGCUGGACACCAGAAGAGACUAAAGGCCCAGAACAGGAGAAAGUGCGGACGACCCGACCUGGAACCCUGAGGGAUGCCAACACGCUGAAAGAUCUUGGGGAAGAUCCAUCACAUCCACUACUAACCUAAAGUUUCCCUUUUACUCUUUCACAAACUCACACACACAUUUUUGUGCUCUUUCUUUCUCGGUGAUGUGCCCAUACAUACUUCUUUCAACAACUUAUCCCCCAAAUACACACAGACAUACCCACAGCCCUCUGUUGGUGUCUCCUCACAGGAGAGAGGGUUUGCGAGGGAGGGGUGAAGGAGGGAUGUUGAUGAAAAGUGGCACAGGCCCACGGAAUGUGAUCAGGCCUCCACAUCUGCAGGAAAGACGAAACCGGCCUCCCAAUUUUACAAUGAUGAUGUCAGCCUGCCUACAUGACAGUGUGUGGCUGAGGUGCCAAGUUUCUCCUCUUUCGCUUUGUUUUUUUUUUUUUUUCCUUUUUCCUUCUCUACCCCUUUUUUUUUUGCUGUCUUUUCUGCUCUCUGUGCUUUUUUUUUUUUUUUUUUUUUUUUUUUUUAACCAAACCCCCUUCCUUUUUUUGUUUUUGUCAUUUUUCCUUCUGUUCACAGAAAAGCCUAGUUUUAUGUUUUAUAGCAUGUAACUCUCAUGGGACAGUAUUAACCAUGCUUUCAAAUGGGGCGAACUGAGAGCUGGUAAUUUCUAAUUUCAGAAAGGACUACUCAUAUACUGUGUUUUUGGACUGUAAUCAGCUCAUCUUUAUGAUUAGCAGCACCGCUGACCUCAGAGUCUGAUUGAAACAAAACUUCACAGGUGUAAUAUGUUUCACAUUCUGUUUUUCUGUAUUCAGAAAUAGACAUUGUAGUGGCUGUAUACAAGAGCCAAUUAUAUCCUAAAUUAUGUACAGUGACUAAUGUGAAGAGAACACGAAUAUUCUUUACUGUAUUUGUGUUCUGUACUAGGAUAUAUGCCCAUUUUGAAUGUACUUCUCCAUUAUUUUAUUAUUGAUUCCAGAAUCAAGAGGAAAUUAACACAAAUAUCUCUUAAUUGAAAUUCUUUUUUUUUUUUUUUAUGCUUUCUGCAGGCAGUAAAGGUGCAUUGUUAAUUACAGGACUCAAAUAAAACAAAAACAAAAAAGUCAUUCAAAAAGUUUUUUGAAUAAGGCACAAUCUAUUGAGAGCAAAUUUUGCAUGCUAAAAAAGAAUGAAUAUUACUUAUUUAAAAUACUUAAACUACAGUUUAGAAGUUUGGAAGUCAAGAUUUUUAAAUCUUUUCAAAAGAAGUCUCACCAAGGCUGCAUUUAUUUGAUCAAAAAUACAGUAAAAACAGUGAUACUGUAAAAUAUUUCAACAAUUUAAAGUCCCCCAGUGGUGAAAAUCAAGUUUUUAAUGUUGUUUAUAUGUCUAUGUGGUGUUUUUAAUAUGCUUUAAGAAAAAACAUGUGCAAAUUCAGAAGUCAACAUCAUUGCUGAGUAUUUUCUAUUUAAAACUGCAGUGAAAAAAAGAUUUUUGAAAGGUUUGAAAUCGCUGGUGUUUCUGACGUCACAAACUACCUUGUAACCAAUCACAUCAACGUGCCGGCGGCUUUAGCAUUAACCAUGUCCGCUCAGAAGUCUCAAGAGAAUACAUCCCGAUAUAUUUUUCUGUUGAUAUAAAAAAUUGGGUAGAUUUGGCAAUAUGGUGGGUGUAUGAUUUAUGAAAUUAUGUUAUGAUGAACUAUAUGCCUUUCUCCACUGACGUUCUGAGUUAUUCAAAGCGUUUCUAAGGAUA